UCGUAGGGAUCCGUCCCUAUUGAGAUAGCACCCUUUGUUCAUGAGUACCACCCGUUUCCUCGGCAGGUCCGCCUGCCGCCAGGACCCCACCAAACCCAUUGUCGUAGCAGUGUCGUCAGAAGCAUAAACUAUUUA
rnacentral:misc_RNA from 1 species